UACGAAGGGGGCUAGCGUUGCUCGGAAUCACUGGGCGUAAAGGGUGCGUAGGCGGGUCUUUUAAGUCAGGGGUGAAAUCCUGGAGCUCAACUCCAGAACUGCCUUUGAUACUGAGGAUCUUGAGUUCGGGAGAGGUGAGUGGAACUGCGAGUGUAGAGGUGAAAUUCGUAGAUAUUCGCAAGAACACCAGUCGGCGAAGGCGGAC
rnacentral:rRNA from 1 species